CUCAAAUCUGCCAACUAGCGAUCCGUCGAUGGUAAUUUAGCCUUGAUGGGGAGCUAAUCGGAAACGAAAGUCUUCCGGUUCCGGGGGAAGUAUGGUUGCAAAGCUGAAACUUAAAGAAAUUGACGGAAGGGCACCACCAGGAGUGGAGCCUGCGGCUUAAUUUGACUCAACACGGGAAAACUCACCCGGCCCGGACACUGUAAGGAUUGACAGAUUGAAAGCUCUUUCUUGAUUCGGUGGAUGGUGGUGCAUGGCCGUNCUANGG
rnacentral:rRNA from 1 species